rnacentral:rRNA from 1 species
AUGGUAUGCACUGGCUCGCUGACUCCUCCUUCUUGUAGAACCGUAAUGCCAUUAAUUUGGUGUUGCGGGGAAACAGGACUGUUACUUUGAAAAAAUUAGAGUGUUUAAAGCAGGCCAACGCCUGAAUACAUUAGCAUGGAAUAAUGAAAUAGGACGUUCGAACCUAUUUUGUUGGUUUCUAGGAUUGACGUAAUGAUUAAUAGGGAUAGUUGGGGGCAUUAGUAUUCAAUUGUCAGAGGUGAAAUUCUUGGAUUUAUUGAAGACUGACUACUGCGAAAGCAUUUGCCAAGGAUGUUUUCAUUAAUCAAGAACGAAAGUUAGGGGAUCGAAGACGAUCAGAUACCGUCGUAGUCUUAACCAUAAACUAUGCCGACUAGGGAUCGGAUGAUGUUAAUUUUUUAAUGACUCAUUCAGCGCCUUACG